CUGCAUGGAGCCGACCUUGAAAUACCACCCUUUAAUGUUUGAUGUUCUAACGUGGACCCGUAAUCCGGGUUGCGGACAGUGUCUGGUGGGUAGUUUGACUGGGGCGGUCUCCUCCUAAAGAGUAACGGAGGAGCACGAAGGUUGGCUAAUCCUGGUCGGACAUCAGGAGGUUAGUGCAAUGGCAUAAGCCAGCUUGACUGCGAGCGUGACGGCGCGAGCAGGUGCGAAAGCAGGUCAUAGUGAUCCGGUGGUUCUGAAUGGAAGGGCCAUCGCUCAACGGAUAAAAGGUACUCCGGGGAUAACAGGCUGAUACCGCCCAAGAGUUCAUAUCGACGGCGGUGUUUGGCACCUCGAUGUCGGCUCAUCACAUCCUGGGGCUGAAGUAGGUCCCAAGGGUAUGGCUGUUCGCCAUUUAAAGUGGUACGCGAGCUGGGUUUAGAACGUCGUGAGACAGUUCGGUCCCUAUCUGCCGUGGGCGCUGGAGAACUGAGGGGGGCUGCUCCUAGUACGAGAGGACCGGAGUGGACGCAUCACUGGUGUUCGGGUUGUCAUGCCAAUGGCACUGCCCGGUAGCUAAAUGCGGAAGAGAUAAGUGCUGAAAGCAUCUAAGCACGAAACUUGCCCCGA
rnacentral:rRNA from 4 species